AGUCUCAGCCAAACCAUUUUGAAUGUUCCCUAUCUUAUCUCAUCUUGGAAGCGAAGCAUGAUGGGACCUGGCUGUUGCUU
rnacentral:rRNA from 14 species